AGAAUCAACGCUGGCGGCGUGCCUAACACAUGCAAGUCGAACGAGAAAGUGGAGCAAUCCAUGAGUAAAGUGGCGCACGGGUGAGUAACACGUGACUAACCUACCCUUGAGUGGGGGAUAACCUAGAGAAAUCUGGCUAAUACCGCAUAAUACCUUCGGGUCAAAGGAGCAAUUCGCUUAAGGAGGGGGUCGCGGCCGAUUAGUUAGUUGGCGGGGUAAUGGCCCACCAAGACUAUGAUCGGUA
rnacentral:rRNA from 1 species